rnacentral:lncRNA from 1 species
GAACCAGUUACGAUUUGGUUUUUGUCUAGCUAGCUUUGAUGAAUUAAGAGGUUUAGAGUGAUGCGACUUCCCAUUGCUGUCUUAGUGGAGAAAACAUAUGAUUAGAUUAAAUCAUGUAAGUGGCAGAUAUUUUUUUUGAAUAACGUUUCACUAACUCCAUGACUUACUACUCAAAAUUUUAGAGAAGAAAUUUUAUCCUAGAAAUUCUUCAUCACUACGUGAACACUUGCAUCACACACCUGCAUCACUAUCUCAGUUUGAAUCAAGUAAGUAGCCUCGUUUUUGUGGAGUAAGUUGCAGAGCUGGUUUUAUUUUUUGUUUAUGCAGUUCUUUACUACUUAAUCUCGAUUUACUAGAAAAACAUGUAAAUCAGAACCUGAAUUUUUCCAUGUCAGUUAUUUCCAUGUGCUGUUGGGAGAAAUAAGUAGUCAAUUUCAGAGAUUGGAUUUGCUGCUCCACUUUAAUUUCCUUAGGCAGCUCGUCCAUGCAAUUGUCCUAUCUCUUAUUUUCUGUUUCAUUCACCAAGGAACUUCACCGUUUUCAUUGAGAGGUUCGUUAUGUUUCAGUGUAGUCGUAUUGUAUGCAUUGAUGUUUUAAUGACACUGUUUGCAGUUAAUGAUAAAACAAUAAUAAAGUGAACAACUUGUAGUGUUCUGUUAUUUAGACAAAUACGUAUCAGAUUGCACGGAUAAGAUUUGCUACUCCACCUUAAGCUAAUUAUGCAGCUCUUCCAUUUGAUUCUCUUAUACUUACAAAAAACGUUGACCUAAACAUUCACGUUAUCAAUGAUAACAAUUACGUUAGAAGAAACUCUACACUUGAGCUGUAUUUAAUUGUGUUUUGGUUUGGUGUUUUAGUAUCGCUGUUCAUCUUGUUUAACGCAUGUCUUUAUUUUCUCGCAUCAAGUAAAAGAAACACUACAAUUUUUUCCGGGGAUUUAUUUAUACUUCCAUCUCUUCCAUGGCACAUAGAAUCAUAUGUCAACUAUGAACUGGUUACAAAAUUUCCCACAAGCACAACUUCCAAUUACUGUAUGUGAGGAUGCUCUCUAUCUCGAAACUAUGCAAGUGUAAGAUCUUCUUCGGUCUCUGUUUGGGUUUGUUUAAUAGGAAGUGUACAUUCUUAUCUCGGAUAACCCUUCUUCUUUGUUUCCCUUUGUGUAGCUUCUGAAUUCUUUUCCUUUACUUUUUCAGAACCUGCAAAUUUUUGGAUGCAGUUCUCUUCUUCUGAG